AAUUGAAGAGUUUGAUCCGGUACCACCUGACUCCAUUCCGAACUCAGAAGUGAAACGUAUUAGCGCCGAUGGUAGUGUGGGGUUUCCCCAUGUGAGAGUAGGACACUGC
rnacentral:rRNA from 1 species